rfam:Strongyloides papillosus strain LIN genome assembly, scaffold: SPAL_contig0002459
GAGUCCGUGGCGCAACGGUAGCGCGUCCGACUCCAGAUCGGAAGGCUGCGUGUUCAAAUCACGUCGGGUUCA